rnacentral:tRNA from 1 species
AACUUUUUAGUUUUAUGGAAAAAAAUUUUUAAUUUGCAGUUAAAGGAAAAAAAUAGAUUUUUAGAAGUUA